rnacentral:rRNA from 1 species
GCCUAACACAUGCAAGUCGAGGGGUAGAAGGAGCUUGCUCCUUUGAGACCGGCGCACGGGUGCGUAACGCGUAUGCAACCUACCUUCCACAGGGGAAUAGCCCAGAGAAAUUUGGAUUAAUGCCCCAUGGCACAGCGAGACGGCAUCGUCUUGCUGUUAAAGUAACAACGGUGGAAGAUGGGCAUGCGUCCCAUUAGCUAGUUGGUAAGGUAACGGCUUACCAAGGCUAUGAUGGGUAGGGGUCCUGAGAGGGAGAUCCCCCACACUGGUACUGAGACACGGACCAGACUCCUACGGGAGGCAGCAGUGAGGAAUAUUGGUCAAUGGUCGCAAGACUGAACCAGCCAUGCCGCGUGCAGGAUGACGGUCCUAUGGAUUGUAAACUGCUUUUGUACGGGAAGAAACACUCCUACGUGUAGGGGCUUGACGGUACCGUAAGAAUAAGGAUCGGCUAACUCCGUGCCAGCAGCCGCGGUAAUACGGAGGAUCCAAGCGUUAUCCGGAAUCAUUGGGUUUAAAGGGUCCGUAAGCGGCCCUGUAAGUCAGCGGUGAAAUCUCCCAGCUCAACUGGGAAACUGCCGUUGAUACUGCAGGCUUGAAUCGCCGGGAAGUAACUAGA